GCGUGGGUGAAGAAGGUCUUCGGAUUGUAAAGCCCUUUCGACGGGGACGAUGAUGACGGUACCCGUAGAAGAAGCCCCGGCUAACUUCGUGCCAGCAGCCGCGGUAAUACGAAGGGGGCUAGCGUUGCUCGGAAUGACUGGGCGUAAAGGGCGCGUAGGCGGUGGACACAGUCAGGCGUGAAAUUCCUGGGCUCAACCUGGGGGCUGCGUUUGAUACGUGUUUGCUAGAGUGGGGAAGAGGGUCGUGGAAUUCCCAGUGUAGAGGUGAAAUUCGU
rnacentral:rRNA from 1 species